CACGUAGGGCGCGAGCGUUGUUCGGAAUUAUUGGGCGUAAAGAGCUCGUAGGCGGCCUGUUGCGUCCGCUGUGAAAGCCCGGGGCUUAACCCCGGGUCGGCAGUGGAUACGGGCAGGCUAGAGGUAGGUAGGGGAGAAUGGAAUUCCCGGUGUAGCGGUGAAAUGCGCAGAUAUCGGGAGGAACACCGGUGGCGAAGGCGGUUCUCUGGGCCUUACCUGACGCUGAGGAGCGAAAGCGUGGGGAGCGAACAGG
rnacentral:rRNA from 1 species